rnacentral:rRNA from 1 species
UACAGAGGGUGCAAGCGUUGUUCGGAAUUAUUGGGCGUAAAGAGCUCGUAGGCGGCUCGGUAAGUCGGGUGUGAAACCUCCAGGCUCAACCUGGAGACGCCACCUGAUACUGCUGUGGCUAGAGUCCGGUAGGGGAGUGUGGAACUCCUGGUGUAGCGGUGAAAUGCGCAGAUAUUAGGAAGAACACCAGCGGCGAAGGCGGCACUCUGGGCCGGAACUGACGCUGAGGAGCGAAAGCGUGGGUAGCAAACAGG